rnacentral:lncRNA from 1 species
GGUAAAUGGAUGGAUGCCGCAGUCUGGCUGGGCACAAAAUCACGAGCCACUCAAGCAGGAACAAAGUUUAUUUUUUGAAACUGCCGCCAAUGUCCGGUACCGCCCGGGAAGAUUUUUUCCACCCACGCGGCCUCCUCCCGGACCCGCAGAGAGAGCUCCUCCCCCGGAACUCCCUCCUACUGUACUUCCCCAACCAAUGGGAACUCUCCAGGAGUCCCGUAGCCGGCCUAGGUGAACAGCAGGAGUCCAAUAUCCAUAUGAAUGCAAAUCUUAACAUAAUCAUAUCAUCUCAAUGGCUAGCUGGCGUCACCUUUCGACCAAAAAUGCCAUGCAUCAUAUACUUGGCUCUUAGCAUCUCCCCCCUUCUGUUUAAGUAACAAGCAAUCUGGCUAGGGACCUUGCCUGUUAGGUUUGUCCAAUUCAACAUAUGGUUCUUACCCGUCAUCAGAAAACUGACUUUUAGGCGUCAGCCUCCUGUCUUAGGUUGAUACCACUGCAAUUGGAUCAUAGCCGUCACUGACUACCUGUCCAGAAUAUAGCCAUACUUGUGGAUAGGCCUAUGUACCAGUGGGGGGGUGAGGUUCUUUGCCUCACCUCUGUUGGCCCCCAAAUUUGGCCUUGGUGCCAGUGGGGGGUGAGGUUCUUUACCUCACCUCUGUUGGCCCCCAAAAUUAGACCAUCACUAGUAGAAGGGAGGAGGAUACAGAAAUGUCAUGACACCAUGUCAAUUAAUGGCUCCUAGGAAAAAUUGCAUCACUGGUGACACAUCAGCAAAGAUACGCUAGCACUACCAUAAUUCGCUGCAUCAACAAAUAGAUCACAAAGCAUACAAGUGAUACAUAGUCCAGGCAAGUUCUGUAAGCAGUUCAAAGCAGAGGAAUCUAUCAAUAUGUCCAUAUCCUCCCAAAAUAAAUCAUACAAGUGAUACAUAGUCCAG